rnacentral:rRNA from 1 species
UGCUUACACAUGCAAGUCGAGCGGUAAGGCCCUUUCGGGGGUACACGAGCGGCGAACGGGUGAGUAACACGUGGGUGACCUGCCCUCCACUCUGGGAUAAGCCCGGGAAACUGGGUCUAAUACCGGAUAGGACCACUGAUCGCAUGGUUGGUGGUGGAAAGUUUUUUCGGUGGGGGAUGGGCCCGCGGCCUAUCAGCUUGUUGGUGGGGUGAUGGCCUACCAAGGCGGUGACGGGUAGCCGGCCUGAGAGGGCGACCGGCCACACUGGGACUGAGACACGGCCCAGACUCCUACGGGAGGCAGCAGUGGGGAAUAUUGCGCAAUGGGCGGAAGCCUGACGCAGCGACGCCGCGUGGGGGAUGACGGCCUUCGGGUUGUAAACCUCUUUCGCCAGGGACGAAGAGCAAUUGACGGUACCUGGAGAAGAAGCACCGGCCAACUACGUGCCAGCAGCCGCGGUAACACGUAGGGUGCGAGCGUUGUCCGGAAUUAUUGGGCGUAAAGAGCUCGUAGGCGGUGUGUCGCGUCGGCCGUGAAAACUUGGGGCUUAACUCUGAGCGUGCGGUCGAUACGGGCAUCACUUGAGUUCGGCAGGGGAGACUGGAAUUCCUGGUGUAGCGGUGAAAUGCGCAGAUAUCAGGAGGAACACCGGUGGCGAAGGCGGGUCUCUGGGCCGAUACUGACGCUGAGGAGCGAAAGCGUGGGGAGCGAACAGGAUUAGAUACCCUGGUAGUCCACGCCGUAAACGUUGGGCGCUAGGUGUGGGGACCAUUCCACGGUUUCUGUGCCGC